rnacentral:rRNA from 1 species
AUGACUCAGCCUAAGAGUAUGGGAGGUUUGGGCUUCAAAGACUUCGAGCUUUUCAAUCUAGCUAUGCUAGCUAGACAGGUAUGGCGCAUGCUGCAUGAUCCUCACUCCCUCAGUGCGCGAAUUAUGAAGAGCAUCUACUUCCCUAAUACCACUAUCCUAGAUGCCUCCCUCGGGAGUCACCCAAGCCAGAUAUGGUGAGCCCUAGUGGAAGGA